ensembl:lncRNA
CAGACUUUUAUAAUGCGUCUCAACCCCAACAGCAAUUGUUUAACAGGUUUAGGAGAAAACCAUGUAGUCCUUGUGCAGCAGUCGUGAAGUCUGUGAAGAGAAGAGGACUGGAAUGCCUUCAGAAACUGAAAAGAAGAGUCAGCUGAAAUGACAAAGUAGCAGAAGUCUCUUUUCCACAUACUGAAAUGGCUGAAUAAGCUACACAGAGCAGAAAUGACUUUCCUGCCUGCGAUUUGCAGAGUCCCAGGACAGCAGCUCACACCUGGGGGCGACAGAGCUGUGGCAGUCUGUCAUCUUUGAGCUAUUUUCUCUAUGCACCGAGAAGGAGAGCGGUGAUGCUGCCUUCUGUCUAUGACAGGAAUUGUUUGAAUUAUUUACAAUGAACGGAAAGACAGCUGGGGGGAGAGGAUGGAGAGGCUGGUGCAAUUCUAUAGACAUUGAUCCUGCCGGGAAAAAGAGCAAACUGACUUGCAAUACAAAUGGCGGUGUUGCAAAUGUGAAAGGAAGACCAUUUUCCAAUGUCACUUUCACAAGCUAAAAGAAGUCUCCAUACGUAUUAUGCAUAAGUGAAUGCACAUAGGUGUCCCAGAAGUUCAAGAUGGUUCCUUGUUUUCUUCGUUUCCUACUUAGUUCUCUUUCCAAUGGAAGCUGUGCAGUGGACUUUGAUCUUUUGCAAGAUUUCUCUUCCUGAAGAAAGGUGCCGGUUUAUUACCAAACCGCUUGUAAGAACAGAUCAAAGGCAGAGGAAGAGUGGGGGCUGCAGUCUGGCCAGCUGCUGUGAUGUUCUACAGAAAAUCAAGGACGAUAUCCACAGGACCUGCGAUGUAUCAAGCCAGCUCUUAGUAACAGAGGAAGGCCAAGAGUAGUUGACAAUAAGACUGUAAAGAAACAGUUAUGCUGGUGACACUUCUUAUAUGAGGACUGCCUUCCUAUUUUUCC